rnacentral:rRNA from 1 species
UCUGGUUGAUCCUGCCAGUUGGCAUAUGCUCGUCUCUAAGAUUAAGCCAUGCAUGUCUGAGUUCAUACCUAGUAAACGUGAGACUGCGAAAGGCUCAGUACAUCAGUUAUAGUUUAUUCGAUUGUGAGAUCCACAUGGAUAACCGUGGAAAAUCUAGAGCUAAUACAUGCGAAAAAAUUCAGUCAAUGGAGAGAUCCAUUGUCCGAUGAUGCAUUUAUUAGAUUAAACCAAUCGAUGCUACAGUUGGCGCAAGCUGGAUGUAGCAUUGCUGUGGUGAGUCUGGAUAACUGUGCCGAUCGUAUGGCCUAGAGCCGGCGACAUUUCGAUUAAAUUUCUGCCCUAUCAACUUGUUGGUAAGGUAGUGGCUUACCAAGGUGAUAACGGGUAACGGGGAAUCAGGGUUCGAUUCCGGAGAGGGAGCCUGAGAAACGGCUACCACAUCCAAGGACGGCAGCAGGCGCGCAAAUUACCCAAUCCAGACACUGGGAGGUGGUGACGAGAAAUACCAGGUCGUUCCCAAAAGGAUUCGACACUGGAAUGAGUUUAAUUUAAAAAUUUAAACGAGAAACAACUGGAGGGCAAGUCUGGUGCCAGCAGCCGCGGUAAUUCCAGCUCCAGUAGUGUAUCCAAACGUUGCUGCGGUUAAAACGCUCGUAGUUGGACAAGAGAGUAACUUGGUGCGGGCGGGGAGUGUGAUUGCUCUAUGUGUUUGCCUCUUGUGGUUGAUGCUACUCGUCUUGUACUUGUAGUAUUGGCACAUUAGGAUGUAGCAUAGUAGUGCACUUGUCGACCAUGCUGCCAGGUUCCUUGUAAUGAUUCGUGAGAAUGGUACAUGGCCUUCAUUGUGCUGUGUACUGUGUCUUACGUAGUGUGCCUUGAAUAAAUCAGAGUGCUCAAAGCAAGCUAUCGCUUGAAUGUUAAUAGCAUGGAACGAAUGUGUUGUGAGAGUGUGCUAAUGAGCAUCACUUGUGGUGUUUAUUAGUGCACAGCACCAACCGCGAAGCGGAACAUUGGUUGCCGACUUCGGGUGAGGAUUAAGAGGGGCAUUUGGGGGCAUUAGUAUUUGGCCGCGAGAGGUGAAAUUCUUGGACCGGCCAAGGACUAACAAGUGCGAAAGCAUUUGCCAAGUAUGUUCCCUUUAAUCAAGAACGAAAGUGAGAGGUUCGAAGACGAUCAGAUACCGUCCUAGUUCUCACCGUAAACGAUGCCAACCCGGGAUCAGUCCGGAUGAGAUUUUUUGGAUCCAGGUUGGUCCCCCUGGGAAACCUUGAGUGUUUAGGUUCCGGGGGGAGUAUGGUUGCAAGGCUGAAACUUAAAGGAAUUGACGGAAGGGCACCACCAGGGGUGGAGCCUGCGGCUCAAUUUGACUCAACACGGGAAAACUCACCUGGUCCGGACAUCGAUAGGAUUGACAGACUAAUAGAUCUUUCAUGAUACGGUGGGUGGUGGUGCAUGGCCGUUCUUAGUUCGUGGAGCGAUCUGUCAGGUUUAUUCCGGUAACGAACGAGACCACGUUCUUCAUUUGGGGAACUGCAGGACAGGUGCUGUGAAGGGCUAGUCACUGAUGGAUAGUGCAUCUCCCGGUGUGCUACUCAUUGGCCGUCGAGUCGGUUGCAGCAUUUGCACCUGUGGUGUGCGUACAGCAAUGUGCGUCCCUAUGGAGAGACAGCCGGAUUGUAAGGCGGAGGAAGCGUGGCAAUAACAGGUCUGUGAUGCCCUUCGAUGUUCAGGGCCGCACGCGCGCUACAAUGAUAACGACAACGAGAGUCUGGACUGAAAAGUUCUGGGUAAUCUUAUGAAUCGUUAUCGUGAUGGGGAUUGAGCAUUGUAAUUGUUGCUCAUGAAAUAGGAAUCCCUUGUAUACGUGUCUCACUUAGGACACGUAGAAUGCGUCUCUGCCCUUUGUACACACCGCCCGUCGCUACUACCGAGUGAAUGGUGUCAUGAUGUCUUGGGACUGGACGUUGUUGGCAGUGAAAACUGCGGACGACGCUAG